CCUACGGGUGGCAGCAGUCGAGAAUCUUUCACAAUGGGGGAAACCCUGAUGGUGCGACGCCGCGUGGGGGAAUGCAGGUCUUCGGAUUGUAAACCUCUGUUAUGUGGGAGCAAAUUAAAAAGAUAGUACCACAAUAGGAGGAGAUGGCUAACUCUGUGCCAGUAGCUGCGGUAAUACAGCGGGCGCAAGCGUUGUUCGGCAUCACUGGGCGUAAAGCGUGCGUAGGCGGGUUCGUAAGUCGUGUGUGAAAGGCGCGGGCUCAAACCGCGGAGGGCAACUGAUACUGGGAGACUAGAGUAAUGGAGAGGGAAGCGGAAUGCGCGGUGUAGCAGUGAAAUGCGUAGAUAUCGAGAAGAACACUCGUGGCGAAGGCAGGUUCCUGGACAUUAACUGACGCUGAGGCACGAAGGCCAGGGGAGCGAAAAGGAUUAGAUACCCGAGUAGUC
rnacentral:rRNA from 1 species